AGCAGCCGCGGUAAUUCCAGCUCCAAUAGCGUAUAUUAAAGUUGUUGCAGUUAAAAAGCUCGUAGUUGAAUUUCGGGGUCAGUAGGCUGGUCGUGCCUCCGGUACGUACUGGUCUUACUGAUUCCUCCUUCCUGACGAACCGUAAUGCCAUUAAUUUGGUGUUGCGGGGAAUCUGGGCUGUUACUUUGAAAAAAUUAGAGUGUUUAAAGCAGGCUAACGCUUGAAUACAUUAGCAUGGAAUAAUGAAAUAGGACGAUCGAUCCUAUUUUGUUGGUUUCUAGGAUUGACGUAAUGAUUAAUAGGGAUAGUUGGGGGCAUUAGUAUUCAAUUGUCAGAGGUGAAAUUCUUGGAUUUAUUGAAGACUAACUACUGCGAAAGCAUUUGCCAAGGAUGUUUUCAUUAAUCAAGAACGAAAGUUAGGGGAUCGAAGACGAUCAGAUACCGUCGUAGUCUUAACCAUAAACUAUGCCGACUAGGGAUCGGAUGAUGUUAAUUUUUAAUGACUCAUUCGGCGCCUUAC
rnacentral:rRNA from 1 species